rnacentral:rRNA from 1 species
CCUACGGGGAGCUGCAGUGGGGAAUAUUGGACAAUGGGCGAAAGCCUGAUCCAGCCAUGCCGCGUGUGUGAAGAAGGCCUUCGGGUUGUAAAGCACUUUCAGUGGGGAAGAAAGCCUUGGGGCUAAUACCCUCGAGGAAGGACAUCACCCACAGAAGAAGCACCGGCUAACUCCGUGCCAGCAGCCGCGGUAAUACGGAGGGUGCGAGCGUUAAUCGGAAUUACGGGGCGUAAAGCGCGCGUAGGCGGUCUGAUAAGCCGGUUGUGAAAGCCCCGGGCUCAACCUGGGAACGGCAUCCGGAACUGUCAGGCUAGAGUGCAGGAGAGGAAGGUAGAAUUCCCGGUGUAGCGGUGAAAUGCGUAGAGAUCGGGAGGAAUACCAGUGGCGAAGGCGGCCUUCUGGACUGACACUGACGCUGAGGUGCGAAAGCGUGGGUAGCAAACAGGAUUAGAUACCCCAGUAGUC